UGUGCCCAGCAGAAUCUCCCGUCA
rnacentral:misc_RNA from 1 species